rnacentral:rRNA from 1 species
GCUUGUCUCAAAGAUUAAGCCAUGCAUGUCUAAGUAUAAAUGGUAUACAGUGAAACUGCGAAUGGCUCAUUAAAACAGUUAUAGUUUAUUUGGUAUUCGAAUUUACAUGGAUAACCGUGGUAAUUCUAAAGCUAAUACAUGCGCAAAAGCCUGACUUAUUGGAAAGGCUGCGUUUAUUAGAUACAGAACCAACCCAGGUUCGCCUGGACUCUGGCGAGUCAUGAUAACCGAGCGAAUGGCAUGGCAUCAGCUGGCGAUGUACCAUUCAAGUUUCUGACCUAUCAGCUUCCGACGGUAGGGUAUUGGCCUACCGUGGCAAUGACGGGUAGCGGAGAAUUAGGGUUCGAUUCCGGAGAGGGAGCCUGAGAAAUGGCUACCACAUCCAAGGAAGGCAGCAGG